rnacentral:rRNA from 1 species
UAGUGGCGCACGGGUGAGUAAUGCAUAGAUAACAUGCCCUUUAGUCUAGGAUAGCCACUGGAAACGGUGAUUAAUACUGGAUACUUCUUACGAGAGAAAGGGACUCUUAAUAGAGAAUUCAAGCUUUUGAGUGCUUUUACGGGAGCUUGAAAUUUUUAAACUACGAUGAACUUUAAUGUUCUAUCUUGUUUAAAAAUUUCUGCGCAACCCACAAAAUCAUCUCAAAAUCUUAGAAUUCUAGAAUCUCCAAAACACAGAAUCUAAAUUUCAAGAUUCUGUAAAAGAUUAGGAUUUUAGAAUCUAGAGCAAGAAUUGGGAUUGUGCGUAAGAUUUGUAAGUUUUCAAGAAAAAGGUGCAGGGAGUUACCUAAGCGGUAAUGACCAAGCCUUUUUCGCAGAAUCUUGCCAAGAUUGCGUGCAAGUCAAAUUCUAAAGCAUGAAUUUUUUAUUAAGAGUCUCCGCUAAAGGAUUGGUCUAUGUCCUAUCAGCUUGUUGGUGAAGUAAUGGCUCACCAAGGCUAUGACGGGUAUCCGGCUGAGAGGGUGAACGGACACACUGGAACUGAGACACGGUCCAGACUCCUACGGGAGCAGCAGUAGGGAAUAUUGCUCAAUGGGGGAAACCCUGAAGCAGCAACGCCGCGUGGAGGAUGAAGGUUUUCGGAUUGUAAACUCCUUUUGUGAGAGAAGAUAAUGACGGUAUCUCGCGAAUAAGCACCGGCUAACUCCGUGCCAGCAGCCGCGGUAAUACGGAGGGUGCAAGCGUUACUCGGAAUCACUGGGCGUAAAGAGUGCGCAGGCGGGGUAGCAAGUCAGAUGUGAAAUGCUAUGGCUUAACCAUAGAACUGCAUUUGAAACUGCUACUCUAGAGUGUGGGAGAGGUAGGUGGAAUUCUUGGUGUAGGGGUAAAAUCCGUAGAGAUCAAGAGGAAUACUCAUUGCGAAGGCGACCUACUGGAACAUUACUGACGCUCAUGCACGAAAGCGUGGGGAGCAAACAAGAUUAGAUACCCUGGUAGUCCACGCCCUAAACGAUGAAUGCUAGUUGUUGCCCUGCUUGUCAGGGCAGUAAUGCAGCUAACGCAUUAAGCAUUCCGCCUGGGGAGUACGGUCGCAAGAUUAAAACUCAAAGGAAUAGACGGGGACCCGCACAAGCGGUGGAGCAUGUGGUUUAAUUGGAAGAUACGCGAAGAACCUUACCUAGGCUUGACAUUGAUAGAAUCUGCUAGAGAUAGCGGAGUGC